CCUACGGGUGGCAGCAGUGGGGAAUAUUGGGCAAUGGAGGAAACUCUGACCCAGCAACGCCGCGUGAGUGAAGAAGUAUUUCGGUAUGUAAAGCUCUAUCAGCAGGGAAGAAAAUGACGGUACCUGAUUAAGAAGCCCCGGCUAACUACGUGCCAGCAGCCGCGGUAAUACGUAGGGGGCCAGCGUUAUCCGGAUUUACUGGGUGUAAAGGGAGCGUUGACGGCAGCACAAGUCUGGCGUGAAAUGCCGGGGCUUAACCCCGUAAAUGCUUUGGAAACUGUGCAGCUAGAGUGCAGGAGAGGUAAGUGGAAUACCUAGUGUAGCGGUGAAAUGCGUAGAUAUUAGGAGGAACACCAGUGGCGAAGGCGGCUUACUGGACUGUAACUGACGUUGAGGCUCGAAAGCGUGGGGAGCAAACAGGAUGAGAUACCCCUGUAGUC
rnacentral:rRNA from 1 species